UCCGUAGGUGAACCUGCGGAAGGAUCAUUAAAGAUUUGGCCCUUGGGCCUAAAUCCACCUCUUUGGCUGUGCGCCUUUGGGCUGCACGCCAUUGAGUAAACCCACACACACCAUGUGCACCCACAUUUGGUUGUGGCAGGUCCUAGGAUCGGCCGCUUCCAAAACAAUUUACAUGUAACCAGUUCAGAAUGUAACAAAACUAUAAAGUAACAACUUUCAACAACGGAUCUCUUGGCUCUCGCAUCGAUGAAGAACGCAGCGAAUUGCGAUACGUAAUGUGAAUUGCAGAAUUCAGUGAAUCAUCGAAUCUUUGAACGCAUCUUGCGCUCCUUGGUAUUCCAUGGAGCAUGCCUGUUUGAGUGUCACGUAAACCCUCACCCUUGUGAUGUCAAAGUCACGAGGCGUGGAUUUGGACCGUGCCGUAAUUGGCUCGUCCUGAAAUGCAUUAGCUUGCGCCUUUUAGAGUGCUCGGCAUGGUGUGAUAAUUAUCUGCGCCGUCGCCUUAGGCCUCUUCUGUGAGUGCUGCUUCCAAUCGUCCCCAGUGGACAACAUAUUACAAACUUUUGGACCUCAAAUCCAGGGGGGGUAGGGGGACUACCCCGGCUGGAACUUAAGGCAUAUCAAAUGAC
rnacentral:rRNA from 1 species